rnacentral:snRNA from 1 species
AGCUUUGCGCAGUCGCAGCACUGUAGCAAAUGAGGUUUAUCCGAGGCACAAUUAUUGUUAAUUGAAAACUAAACAUCAAAGCA